CCCUAGCCCUGAUGGAAAUGAAAAGCCACGAAAAGCAAAACAGCAUUUUUUUUCCGGACUUAAAAAGCGACCAGCGGAAGCUCUUUUAAGUCCUUGAAAAAAAGUUGUUUUGCUAGAGUGCUUGUAGUGAAACAGCAGGAAAUAGC
rnacentral:sRNA from 1 species